CACUCCAGCUCCUCCAUCGUCGUCCAGCCCACCUACCUGUGCUUCCUGCCCUAUCUGGCACGCCCACCUCACCUGCCCAGCGCCAUAUCGGCAUCGUCGUCGAUCUCUGCGACGCCUUCAUCGGUGACGCUUUUUAAAUCCUCUUUUGAUCCAAUCUGCGGUGGUGGUUUUGGGUUGAAUUCGAUGGUUUUGGUGGUGAUGUUGAUUUGUUUUUGAUGGUUUUGUUUUGUUGGGUUUUUACUGACACUUGUGCUUACUUAUAUGAAGGGGAUGGUCACUGUAUAUUGAUAUAUUACCCUAGCUCAACUGGUGGAGGAAUGAAGGAGCUGUUUAGGAAGGUUGGUAACCGAUCUAGCGAGUUCCAUCCGGAAGUUAGAAGAGUGAGACAAGAAGGCUCAUAUAUAUAGGAAGAAUUUAUGCCAACUGGAGGAACAUAUGUCAAGGUUUAUGAUGAUGAUGCUUGCUUAGGAAGAUAUUUCUAGAUGCUAAAGCUCCUCACCUUUCUUCUGUGAUUCCACCAACUUUGCCUUGGAAAACCAAUGAGCCAAGCCAACCUUAAUUCUGAGUGGCUAACUCACCAAUGAAGUGGAAUUAUUAGGACGUUUGGGCAGGCUGAGGAACUACGUUGUGUGAUUGCCAUUGUUUGUCUAUACAUAUUCCUCUCAGUUUUUUGACCUGUUAUAGUUGAACUUCCUGUUUUCCCUUAAUAUAUAUGUUUUGCUUUGACACUGGUGAUAGAACUCCCAAAUAGAAAGUACAAUGGGGGCCGGCCUAGAUCUGAGACGAAAGUGAAAAGUGCUAUCCAAUUGCAAGAUUUGUUGGAUGCCACACAGAUGUUGGUACCUCGUUCUAGACCAUAUCGAGAAAGUGAUAGUGAGGCAGGAGACAUUGAGCAUGCUGAAAAGCUUCGUCAAGUUAAAGCAGUGCUCGAGGAGG